AAACGUGCUCUAAAAACUUGCUCUGUUUAUCACUAACGACGAGCCUUUGUAAUUUUUUCAUAAUUUUGUUGAAAAGAAAAUAAAAAAUGCGUUAUUUAUUUGUAUAAUCAUUUAUUAGAAAUAUUCUAUUUUCUUUGUACCUAGCCACGAUUUCCGGUUCCCGCCAUUUCGCGCCGGCGUCGUGGGUGUUUGGAGGCUACGUAAUGCUCCCGGUUUUAUUUUAUUUAAGCGACCUUUUCUGAAGUGUCAACUAAGGAUCAAACACUGGUCGUUGCGGGGAUCAGCUUCAAAGGGUUAAGGAUGGCGUCUUGAAUCGCUGUUCAGUCGACAGGCAACUGUAUGACUACGCCAUCCCUGUCAACCAGAGCGUCGACCGAAGUAGGGCAGCGCUGCGCGGACCUGGCCACACCCGACGGCCGACCAACCGGUGUAGUAGCUGUUUCGGGCUGGGCGGAGACUACCUACAUC